GGAGACAUCUGUAUACUUACAAAAUAAAUAAAUAAUUAAGAGCAAGAGAAGUCUUUCCCCACUUCGCCAAAUUAGAUCUAUACUUCUGCAAAACAGCUCUCUCUCUCUCUCUGUGUUUUUGCCUGUGUUGAAUCGAAUGUUCUUCUCAGAUCUACCAACCAACCCAUCUGAAUCCAUUUCUAUGGCACUCCAUGAGCAUGCCGAACUACAUAUCAGUCACCAACCAAUGGAAUCUUUUCUGGUUUUCUGUUUUUGAUUGGGUUCUGCAAGUAGAGAAAGCCACAUCAGGCAGCCAUCUUCUGAUCUAGAUUCAUUGUCUCACCCAAAUUCCCUCUCCCUUCCAAACCAAACCUAGCCGCCACCCAUGGAAGGCAUACACCGCCAAGUCCAGAUCUUCCCAUAUGGUGGAAACCAAGCCAAGCUGGAGCGAGUCCAUCUUGAAAGUUCUUAAAGGUGAUGGAAGGUCUUUUGGACAUGCUAAAGGAUGGAAAAUAUCUUGAUACCUAUAUUGUGAUUCAAACUAUGAGAUGCUAUUUGAACUGUGAUGAUAUUGAUCAUGGUGUGCAAACCCCUGAUGACUAUCUGAAGUUAGGGAAGCUUCCUGCACCAGAACUCAUAACAUAAAUGUGAUAUGGAGUUGUGGAGUUGCUAAGAUGAUGUAUCUCAUAACAUAUAUGUGAUAUGUAGUGAUGUGAAAAUGCUCGUUGGGCUUUGCUGCUAAAUUUGGCUUAGCAAGUGUAGUUGUUCUAGGAUAUCAAGAAGGCGCUAUUAAGAGAAUUGCAGAUAAGGUUGCAGCAUAAAUGAGGCAAAGUUUGUAGACAAAAUAUUCUUAGGUUCUGUAUGCAUUUUUAUGUGGUUGCUUGAAGUUGGCAAUUGAUUUUCAUGUUUUACAGUUUGAUCCUUGGUACCAUAAUUAUUAGUGAAAUGCACUUGUUUCUUUCAUAUGUAGAGAAAUUUGAAGUUGUAAUUGAAUGGUUUCUGGAAUUUUAUAAUUAAAUAUUUUGGAAUAAUUAAUUUUAUGCAUCUUUUUAUUUAA